rnacentral:rRNA from 1 species
AGUGAACGCUGGCGGCGUGCCUAAUACAUGCAAGUCGAACGGAGUGGCGCACGGGUGAGUAAUGUAUAGCUAAUCUGCCCUACACUAGAGGACAACAGUUGGAAACGACUGCUAAUACUCUAUAGUGUAGGAUGAGGCUAUAUUGUAUCAGCUAGUUGGUGAGGUAAUGGCUCACCAAGGUUAUGACGCAUAACUGGUCUGAGAGGAUGAGCAGUAUACCUGGAACUGAGGCACGGUCCAGACUCCUACGGGAGGCGGCAGUAGGGAAGAUUGCUCAAGGGGCGAAACCCUUAAGCAGCAACGCCGCGUGGAGGAUGACACUCUUCGGAGCAUAAACUCCUUUUUUUAGGGAAGCGGUACCUAACGAAUAAGCACCGGCUAACUCCGUGCCAGCAGCCGCGGUAAUUC